AGAGUUUGAUCCUGGCUCAGAACAAACGCUGGCGGCGUGGCUAAGACAUGCAAGUCGUACGAAUAACCUUAUUGAGUAAUCGAGAAGGUUGUUAGUGGCAAAAGGGUGAGUAAUGCAUAGGCAACGUACCUCUAACUUCGGGAUAGCUGCGGUCUUCGGACCUUUAGCGAAAGUGCAGGUAAUACCGAAUAAUAUCAUGGAAUCGAAUGGUUUUUUGAUCAAAGGCUUCGGCCGGUUGUUGAGCGGCCUAUGUCGUAUCAGCUUGUUGGUGAGGUAAUGGCUCACCAAGGCAUCGACGCGUAGCGGGACUGAGAGGUUGAUCCGCCACAUCGGGACUGAGACACUGCCCGGACCUCCACGGAGGGCUGCAGUAACGAAUAUUGCGCAAUGGACGAAAGUCUGACGCAGCAACGCCGCGUGUAGGAAGAAGUCCCUCGGGAUGUAAACUACUGUCAGGGUGAAGAAAGUGCGCUUCGUGCGCAUUGAUCGAUCCCAGAGGAAGGUCCGGCUAACUUCGUGCCAGCAGCCGCGGUAAUACGAAGGGACCAAGUGUUGUUCGGAAUCAUUGGCUUAAAGAGCACGUAGGCGGAUAGUUAAGUGUCUUGUGAAAUCCCUCAGCUCAACUGAGGAACUGCUCGGCAUACUGGCUAUCUUGAGGCAGGUAGGGGUACAUGGAACUCUAGGUGGAGCGGUGAAAUGCGUAGAUAUCUAGAGGAACGCCGGCGGAGAAAUCGGUGUACUGGGCCUGAACUGACGCUGAGGUGCGAAAGCGUGGGUAGCGAACGGGAUUAGAUACCCCGGUAGUCCACGCCGUAAACGAUGUCUACUAGACCGUGGAAACUCUGACGUUUUCGCGGUCGAAGCAAAAGUGUUAAGUAGACCGCCUGGGGAGUACGGUCGCAAGGCUAAAACUCAAAGGAAUUGACGGGGGCUCACACAAGCGGUGGAGCAUGUGGCUUAAUUCGAAACAACGCGAAGAACCUUAUCCUGGGUUUGACAUGUUUGGAUGCCUUUCGUGAAAGCGGAUAGGUUGCCCUUCGGGGUGAAACUUACACAGGUGCUGCAUGGCUGUCGUCAGCUCGUGUCGUGAGAUGUCGGGUUAAGUCCCUUAACGAGCGAAACCCUUGCCGUUAGUUGCCAGCGGGUCAUGCCGGGAACUCUAGCGGGACUGCCGGUGUUAAACCGGAGGAAGGUGGGGAUGACGUCAAGUCCUCAUGGCCUUUAUGCCCAGGGCUGCACACGUGCUACAAUGGCGUGAACAAACCGACGCGAUACCGCGAGGUGGAGCAAAUCGGAAAAAUCACGCCCAAGUUCGGAUUGUAGGCUGCAACUCGCCUACAUGAAGUUGGAAUCGCUAGUAAUCGCAGAUCAGCAUGCUGCGGUGAAUAUGUUCCUGAGCCUUGUACACACCGCCCGUCAAGUCACGGAAGCCGGGAGUACCUGAAGUCGGAUAGCUAACUCUUCGGAGAGGCGUCUGCCGAUGGUAAGCUUGGUAACUGGGGCUAAGUCGUAACAAGGUA
rnacentral:rRNA from 1 species